rnacentral:rRNA from 1 species
UGAACGCUAGCGACAGGCUUAACACAUGCAAGUCGAGGGGCAGCGGGGUUGUAGCAAUACAACUGCCGGCGACCGGCGCACGGGUGAGUAACACGUAUGUAACCUGCCCUCUGCAGGGGGAUAAGCGGAAGAAAUUCCGUCUAAUACCGCAUAAUACAAUUUGGAGACAUCUCUGGAUUGUCAAAGGAGUGAUCCGGCAGAGGAUGGACAUGCGGCGCAUUAGCUAGUCGGCAGGGUAACGGCCCACCGAGGCUACGAUGCGUAGGGGUUCUGAGAGGAAGGUCCCCCACACUGGUACUGAGACACGGACCAGACUCCUACGGGAGGCAGCAGUGAGGAAUAUUGGUCAAUGGGCGGAAGCCUGAACCAGCCAAGUCGCGUGAGGGAAGACGGUCCUAUGGAUUGUAAACCUCUUUUGCAGGGGAGCAAGGCGCGGUACGUGUACCGCGAAGGAGAGUACCCUGAGAAAAAGCAUCGGCUAACUCCGUGCCAGCAGCCGCGGUAAUACGGAGGAUGCGAGCGUUAUCCGGAUUUAUUGGGUUUAAAGGGUGCGCAGGCGGACUGUUAAGUCAGCGGUAAAAUGUCGGUGCUCAACACCGGCCGGCCGUUGAAACUGGCAGCCUUGAGUGAGCGAGAAGUAUGCGGAAUGCGUGGUGUAGCGGUGAAAUGCAUAGAUAUCACGCAGAACUCCGAUUGCGAAGGCAGCAUACCGGCGCUCAACUGACGCUCAGGCACGAAAGCGUGGGUAUCGAACAGGCUUAGAUACCCUGGUAGUCCACGCAGUAAACGAUGAAUGCUCACUGUCCGGGCUGUUUAAGGCCUGGGUGGUCAAGCGAAAGCGUUAAGCAUUCCACCUGGGGAGUACGCCGGCAACGGUGAAACUCAAAGGAAUUGACGGGGGCCCGCACAAGCGGAGGAACAUGUGGUUUAAUUCGAUGAUGCGCGAGGAACCUUACCCGGGCUCAAACGGAAGGGGACAGUAUGAGAAAUCAUACAUUCCUUCGGGACCGCUUCCGAGGUGCUGCAUGGUUGUCGUCAGCUCGUGCCGUGAGGUGUCGGCUUAAGUGCCAUAACGAGCGCAACCCCUAUCGACAGUUGCUAGCAGGUAAAGCUGAGGACUCUGUCGAGACUGCCGGCGCAAGCUGUGAGGAAGGCGGGGAUGACGUCAAAUCAGCACGGCCCUUACGUCCGGGGCGACACACGUGUUACAAUGGCAGGUACAGCGGGAAGCCACCCGGCGACGGGGCGCAGAACCCGAAAACCUGUCUCAGUUCGGAUUGGAGUCUGCAACCCGACUCCAUGAAGCUGGAUUCGCUAGUAAUCGCGCAUCAGCCACGGCGCGGUGAAUACGUUCCCGGGCCUUGUACACACCGCCCGUCAAGCCAUGGAAGCCGGGGGUGCCUGAAGUGCGUGACCGCAAGGGACGCCCUAGGGUAAAACCGGUGACUGGGG